UUGUUUGAGACAACAGAUAUAAGUUGCGAUGGGAGAGGAGCGUCGGAUUUGGUGUGUAUCCCCCACUUCCAAUUAUAGAUGGAUCAUUACAGACAGCGGAGUCCUGAGAAGCCAGACAUCUGCUCCUCACAUGAAUGCACUCACCUCCUAGAAACCAGGCUGCCAUCAUGCUCUGGAAACUCGUGGAGAAUGUCAAGUACGAAGACAUCUAUGAGGACCGGCACGAUGGCGUCCCAAGCCAUAGCUCCAGACUGUCUCAGCUGGGCUCUGUGUCCCAAGGACCCUACUCGAGCGCCCCGCCGCUGUCCCACACACCAUCAUCGGACUUCCAGCCACCCUACUUCCCGCCCCCCUACCAGCCGCUACCCUACCACCAGAGUCAAGACCCCUACUCCCACGUGAACGACCCCUACUCCCUGAACCCUUUGCAUCAACCCCAGCAGCACCCCUGGGGACAACGACAGCGCCAAGAAGUAGGUUCAGAAGCCGGCUCUCUCCUGCCCCAGCCCCGGGCGGCCUUGCCCCAGCUCUCGGGCCUUGACCCCCGAAGGGACUACCACUCUGUCCGCCGGCCGGACGUGCUGCUACAUUCGGCACACCACGGCCUGGACGCCGGCAUGGGCGACAGCCUCUCGUUGCACGGUCUUGGGCAUCCCGGCAUGGAAGAUGUGCAGUCAGUUGAAGAUGCCAAUAACAGCGGCAUGAACCUAUUGGACCAGUCAGUCAUUAAAAAAGUUCCUGUCCCUCCCAAAUCUGUGACUUCUCUAAUGAUGAAUAAAGAUGGCUUCUUGGGAGGAAUGUCAGUCAACACCGGCGAGGUAUUUUGCUCAGUCCCAGGCCGUUUAUCUCUACUCAGUUCAACUUCAAAAUACAAAGUGACUGUGGGAGAAGUUCAGAGACGGCUCUCGCCCCCUGAAUGCCUCAAUGCGUCUCUCCUUGGCGGCGUCCUCAGAAGAGCCAAAUCGAAAAAUGGGGGGAGAUCCUUGAGAGAAAGGCUAGAAAAAAUCGGUUUGAAUUUACCCGCGGGCAGGCGCAAAGCAGCAAAUGUCACGUUACUCACCUCCCUGGUGGAAGGGGAAGCUGUUCACUUAGCUCGGGAUUUUGGGUAUAUUUGCGAAACAGAGUUUCCUGCUAAAGCCGUGUCUGAGUAUUUGAACAGACAGCACACGGACCCCAGUGACCUGCAUUCCAGAAAGAAUAUGCUGCUGGCCACCAAGCAACUUUGUAAAGAAUUUACGGAUCUGCUGGCGCAGGACAGGACCCCGAUCGGCAACAGCCGGCCCAGCCCCAUCCUGGAGCCCGGCAUCCAAAGCUGCCUCACGCAUUUCAGUCUCAUCACGCACGGCUUCGGCGCCCCGGCCAUUUGCGCUGCGCUCACGGCCCUGCAGAACUAUCUCACCGAGGCGCUCAAAGGCAUGGACAAGAUGUUCUUGAACAACACCACUAACAGGCACACGUCUGGGGAAGGCCCAGGUAGUAAAACUGGCGACAAGGAGGAGAAACACAGGAAAUGAAAAAAAAAAAAAAAUUAAAGAGAAGGAAAAUGUUUUAAAUACAAAAGGAAAACAGAAAAAAAAUAAUUUUAGCUUUAACAUAUUGGAUUGGCUUUGGAAGAAUUAUAUUAGGUAGAAUACACAUACAAUCAAAAUUUAAAAAAAGAAAGCUAAAUAACUUUUAAAAAAAUAAACUGAGGCAUACAACGGAGCAACAAACCGGCUCUCGGUGUCUAUUUCAAGAUACACAUGGAGACAACCGUCCGGAUUUUCCACUUCGGUUCUUUCGAGCUUAGUAAUACAGAUAAUAAAAGAAAACUAUGAAACCCCCUUUUGGAAAAUAAACAUGAGACGAAACAUGAGAACACGCUAACUUAUUGGAAGAAAAUUGGAGAAACGUUGGUGUCAAUGCUUUGAGAGCUGGUUGACUGAGACGCACGAACUUUUAAAUUUAAUUUUUUUUUUAAAGGAAACUCUCGCAGUCCGCGCGCUCCAUUUCUCCUCACCCUUCUCUCCGCUGCUUCCCUUUCCCCCCUCCUCACACGGUUCCGGGAAUCUGCCGGGUGAUCCCCAGUGUGAUUAGUUCAUUGGCGUUGCGUUUGUCCCUUUGGUGUCCAGACCUCGCCUUGUUCCCAACUCCCCGGUGCCCAACUCCCCACGGUGUGUUUAAUUAGGGAGGCGUGGAGGGGGAAGGGGGUGAGGAGAGGCUCUAGCGUUUGAUCUGGUCUUGAGAGCCGAGGUUCCCGCGGCAGAGGAAACCCAGGCCGAUAAGUUGAUUCAUCAUGGUUCCUUUCAGAAAAUGUUACUAGUUCCCAGACUUGCCAGCACCUGUUCACAGAGAAUAUUAUAUUCGUUAUACUUGUGUCAACUAGAAGUAUAGUUUAAAAAAAAAAGAAAGAAAACAAAACACGAAUACUUUGAUUAGUAUGUAAUUCCUUCGGAGGGGUAUGUACCAUUUCAUUUUCUUCUGUUUCCCAAAGCUUUACCCGCAUGGUUUAUGAGCUUCUUCAAAGAAGACUUGGGCUUCCUACACAAUCUAUAAGGGCAACGCGCCCCACGCGUGUGACAUCGAGAGACGCGAUGGAUGCGCCUUGCUCUUACUGUGCAGGUCCUGGGAACAUGGGGGCCACUGGAGCCCAGUGGUGUUGAGGACAUAGAAUCAGCAGCUGCUGGGGUCGCGAGCCGCGCGGGCCCUUCCUGCUCUGGGUCUCACCCUAAGGGCUAAGGCCACCGAGAAAGGCCAGUUCCCGAGUAGGUAAAGGGGCGGUGCCCCACUGGCUGCUUGGGGGGAGGGGUCCCAGAGCUCUGUAAAGUCCUUUGGCCGCUAGCAGUCAGAGACAUUGUGGCCUGGAAAAGUCCAUGGAAUUUGAAACUUCCACGUGUUCUUUCUGCCAGGAAGGAAAUUGUCUCUACCCUCACUCUCUUGAAGUGUAGGCAUGAAAUAAGGUAGGCUCUCUUAGGCGCCCAGCUCUCCGUGUGAGCAGAGCGGGAAGGUGCAGCUAGAUAAACUCGGCUGGCCCUCCCCACUAACCCCACCUCGCCUCCGGGGGUGAGUCCUCAGUUUCUGCUUUUUCCUUUCUUCAUUUUUUUUCACACCGGACCUCCAACCCCUUGCUUUCCUUAGCCAAGCCAGCUCCGUUUAUCUGGUAAUUGAGUUAUUAAAAGAUUUGGUUUCCUUGGGCUUAUAAAUCAAUAAACAGUAGGAUUAACACAAGAGUUGGCCUUUUAAGUCAAGGAAAACGUUUAAGACCAGACCCUUUGAGUCUUGUUUUCAAACCAAACAGGUGACUUGCAGUGCCCUCCUCUCCCCUGCACUCUGUAAGUUUUAUGCCCUACUAAGUCCUGGGGUUCCAAACCAAAAUAGCUAAAGACUGUAGAGGGAGCCUGCAGCGGAGUUCCCUGGAGAUUCUUCCAGGCCCUGCUUAGCGAAUCCUGCCUUCUCCUACUUGCAUUCUCUGUUUCAUGGAGUUUGUUUCCAGGUGAGGAUUCCAUCUCCAGGGACCGGUUAACUUCCACCCCAACUAGGAAAUACUUUUCUUCUCUCUCUUACCGCGACGUAUCUUGCAUUUUCUUCCAUCUACUCUACCUCCUCACCCCUAGCUUUCUCCCCCCCUCCCCCCCAUAUAAAGAGCCCAAGAGGCUUUCAAAGAUCCCAUGUUUGUUUUCAUUGGCCAAGGAAACCACUUUCUCUUAAGCAAUUAUUUCAUACCCUAUGAAAACUUUGGUCGAAUGGAAAACCCCAAACCCCUAACUUAUCUACAUACUUCUUCCUUGGGUAAAAGACUCAUCCCUAGUUAGAGUUGAGUCAUUUGAUAUCCUGUCCUUGCAAUACUUUAUGUGGAAAGGAAAUGAUGACCUUAAACCAUUCAACACUGCCUCAAGAGCUUCCACAGCGUUUCCCUCUUUUGCUGAAGUAUAUUAAAUUAUUGGUGAAAGAAAAGAGAAGUAUUGAAAUUCAUUCAUUUUUUUUUAAGGAAAAAAAAAACGGAGUGAACACCAUUUCUUCUUUAAAUGUCAAAAUUGAUUCCCCUUUUGAGUUGGUCUCUAAUUCACUAACAUUAUUUUUACCACCCAGUCAAGAAAUACCAACGGCCUCUUCUUGAGAGCACUCUGGAGGGUAUCCGUGUUAAGUUUGUAUAUAUUUAUUUAUGCUUAAUUUAAUGGGAAUGUGUAAAUAUGAUGAACAAGUAGUUUGGGAUUAUUUAUCUGUGAAUCUAUACCUCUGUGAAUGGGUGGUUAAAAAGAAAAACCGCUUGACCCUAGGUAGACUCCUAUCUGAAUUUUUCUGUUCUUUAUAGACAAGCUGUUAUGGUAUUGGGUAGAAAUUGGUUUAUUGUCCAGUGUUAAUCUGAUUUACAUAAAUAAAAAGAUUGUUGUGUUUU